UUGAAGCUUUGUCCGCAGGAACAACAACAUACUUAUCAUGAAGAGAUGAUAGACAUUUCAUGGCCUCUUUGUCUCUGAAAACAGACUUUGGUCGAUCGUUCACACAGUUUUUAAACUUGUGAAUGCGACGUUUUAUCAGAGACCUGAUAGUUUUAACCCAUUCUGAUAAAGUGUCCAGUUCAACUUCUUCUCGCUUAGCCCAUGCUCUGGCGUAGUCCUCAAUGGAAUUAUUUUGA
rnacentral:lncRNA from 1 species